CCUACGGGAGGCAGCAGUGGGGAAUAUUGGACAAUGGGGGCAACCCUGAUCCAGCCAUGCCGCGUGUGUGAAGAAGGCCCUCGGGUUGUAAAGCACUUUCAGUGAGGAAGAACGCCUGGUGGUUAAUACCCAUCAGGAAAGACAUCACUCACAGAAGAAGCACCGGCUAACUCCGUGCCAGCAGCCGCGGUAAUACGGAGGGUGCGAGCGUUAAUCGGAAUUACUGGGCGUAAAGCGCGCGUAGGUGGCUUGAUAAGCCGGUUGUGAAAGCCCCGGGCUCAACCUGGGAACGGCAUCCGGAACUGUCAAGCUAGAGUGCAGGAGAGGAAGGUAGAAUUCCCGGUGUAGCGGUGAAAUGCGUAGAGAUCGGGAGGAAUACCAGUGGCGAAGGCGGCCUUCUGGACUGAAACUGACACUGAGGUGCGAAAGCGUGGGUAGCAAACAGGAUUAGAUACCCCAGUAGUC
rnacentral:rRNA from 1 species